ensembl:lncRNA
UGAGAAUUGAAAUUGAAACUAUAAACAAAUCUGCCGGAAAAAGCUUUCAUUCAAAGUAAGAGAAAAGGGAGCACAGCUCUGACAAAGAUAAAGGUGGUCCUGAACAAGGAAAUAGCAGAUGGGGAAGGUUCUCUGGUUCGAAUAGCUGGACCGGGGCUCACGCUAAGGCAGGGGCCCCGACUGGCCCAGCCACGAAAGCAGGAAGCCAGCUUUUCAGGACCAGCUGAGAUGGUGGAGCCUGGUCAUCGUUAUCUCAGUCCUGCUUCCGAGCUCUAGAAGAACAGAUCACAACGUAUGCCUCGCGGCCAGGCGGCCCUGAGCCACCAGUGGUACGUGCAUGAGUGUCCCCUCGGGUGGCAUGGAACGGUCCCGACAGGUGGUACCAGCGGCCUGUGGGACAGUCAUGCAUUGCCACCAGUGGCCCAAGCCAGUGAGACUGUUGAGCGCAGCUGGAUUCCCAUGGAGACCGCCUGUGUGUGGUCCCGGUCACAUGAAGCUUGCUCUUCCUGGGACCCGGAUGACUAUUGGAUGAGGACAACCGCUGGAGAUUCUUAGGUGUUGCUGCAAGGAGAGGAAGGGCGUGGAAUCGGGACACUAUAAAAUCUGGUCGUCGGAAUCCCCCUGAACACUGAACAUUACUUUAGUUACCCCUCCCAUGGUGUCCUCCAGUCUGAAGGGGGCUGAGACGGGGCAGGAUUCCAGGGCGGCACCGGCAGAGCUCUGAUCCAAGGUCGGCACCUUCGUGGGCACCAGGUCUACGAGCCUCUAAAAGACCAAUAAGAAGCUACUGGAAGAUGAAUUUCCACUCAAGAAAAAGUUACCACCAGUUGCACUAAAACAGAGGGGCUCCUUCCAGAAACUGAGAGCUCGCUCCCUUUAAGGCCAGCAGAGGGGGGUAGGAAGGGCUCAGACUCCAGAUCUGCCACCAGCCUGGGCUCUGUAAGGUCUCUUCCAAAUAAAAACCUUUGCUACAGACCCGCAGAAGGAAAUUCUACUUCCAAACACGCUUUAACCUAGCUAUACUUUUUUUUUUUUUUGGUACCAGGGAUCGAACUCGGGACCUUGUGCUUGCAAGGCUGGUGC